GACGUCUGAUGGCGUGUGUGACGUAGCGACGGCAGUUGCUCUGUUCCUCUCAGCGUGCGUUGCUGAGAGCCGAGCGAGGGCCUGGAGGGCAGACGCUGAGAGAGGGCGGCUUGGGGUACGCAGCCGGCAGAAACGUACAAUUGGCCUGGUUGCUGCCUUCCUUUGAAAACUGAUUUCUUUUGGACCGGUUCCUGAUCCCUCACGGAAGAUUACCCCGCCUCAAACUGCUGGCGUUUAUAGCCAAGAUGAACCACAGUACCAGCAAGCGCUGUAUUUAGCCGCUAUGUUUAUCACUGGUUACUAAAGUUUCUCAGAAGAUACGUGUUGUUGCAACGCAGGUAGCGCAGCAGUUCCUCACAGUAAUACGAGACGCCAGAGCUUCUCUGGAUCAGGAACCUGGGCAGGAGCACAGCCAGCACCAGGGAAGUAAGGUGCAGCACCGUUCUAGUUCUGAUGGGUGGUGAGUCACUCAGGCCUCGUAGGCUAACCAGCCUCUUCAGCAUGGCUACAUCUGGCUUCUGGAUGGGGCAUGAGUGUCUGGGGCCCCCCAAACCUCCAUCAUUCCUGGGAAUCCAUCAGGAAAGGCCGGUGGACAGUGCUGAAAGCACAGAACAGCAAGCCACGGCAACAGCAAAGGGCUGACACCAUCCACACUCUGCUGCCUCGUGGCACUUGCCCAUUCUUAGAUCACACCUGCUAUGGCCAGGCUUAAGGAGAGACCCAUCAGCCUCGUGCUGCCUUUUUAGCAGGGCGAUUCCCAGCCGUGGUUGGCAUAAAUGCAACCCUUCCAGAAGAGCUCCCCGACUUGGCUUUACCUUGCCAGCUCCCUGGGGAUGCUGCGCACUCCAAGCUCCUGGCAGGCUUUCUGCACCACAUCUGAAGCUUUCAGCCCUCUCAUCUCAGAUGAAGAGAGGUGAUUCUCUGGGAUGUUGUGCUGUCUGUGGCAGCUUCGACAAUGUCCUCUGCUCUGCCAUGGCCCAGAACUAAGCUCAUGACCAUAAGGUCUGUGACACUUUGGAGCAGGGGCCACAUGAUAGACCAGGACUCAGAGUCCAGGAAGUGGGUGUUGUCAAUGAAAAAUAUACCAACUUCCCCUCUAAGUACCUGAAAAAAGCAGGUGGUUCUGAGUGGAAUCUGGUGGAUUCUCGAGUGUCUUCUGGGGAGGACACGUAGCCUUUCUCUCCUUAGGACAAGGGGAUACUCAGAAGCCUCUCCUCAGCCACCUCCCUCUCCAGGAGUUUACCAAAUUUGUUUCUGCGAGACCGUAAAGUCUCCUCUAACAUCAGUUCCCCAGCAGAAGGAGGGAACUUGGGCAAAGUACUGUCCAGAAGACACCCCUCUCAGGUGAGAAGGGCCAUGACCCAGGUGCAUCGCCCUGCCAUCCCUCAAGCAGCUCCAGCGCGGAGCCCGCAGCCAGCCAGCACAGUUGUUUGGCUCCUCUGAGACAGGAGGAAGGAGACAUGCUCAUCUGUAGCACUCGUGUACAAGUCAGGUGGAACGCACUGGCCUGUUCAGCGCAACACAUCUUGCAAACCUUGUCUGUGAUGGGAAACUGUCCAGGAAAGACAGAGAGGAACAUUGCUGAGGGUCUGGGCAUACCUAUCCCCCAGAGCAAGACUGCAGAGCAAAAUGCCUCUGAUUUUGCAUGCGGCCAGCACCAGCCCCUCUUCAAUGCCAUUUCCAGGGUGCUGAACAAGACACAGGGCACAUGCAUGGCACAGGAGCACCCCACGCACAGGAAGACUCCUGGGCACAGGAAUCAGAGAGGUGGGGUACGAGCCCCGCAAAUCCCAGCCCUGAGCUGAGCUGCUCGCAGCAGAGCAUCCCAGCAGGACAGCCUCUCACUCUCACCUCAGCUAAGAAAACAUCGUUGAGCAGGCAGUAGCUGCUCUCUUCUGUUGUGCCUUCGAGCGUGGUCUGCAGAGUGCGCUGCCUGUCACUGCAAGUCUCACCAGCCUGGAGACCCAGCUCCCUGGCCACCAGCAGAUGGAUGGCAGAGAAGGAUUGCUUCAGGUUCUCCUCUGUCAGUUCCACAGCGAUGAUCUGCGGUGCAAAAGCAGAAGGCACUGAGAUCUAGAAUUGCCUCCCGGUAGCUCAAGCUUGCCUGGACAGCAGUGUUCGAUGGGUGAGCUGCCUGGUUCUUUCUGCAGAGGAAAGUGAGACUCUUCAGCCAUACACCUCCAAGUGCUUCUUGGAGAGGACCAAGCUUUCCACUCAUCGUAUAAGAAAGAGCCCCCAGGGAAGGCUGCAGGCCAGUCACUGGGAGGACUGACCAUGGCCCCUGCACCUCCGCAGCCCCAGCCAGGGUCACACUACACAUCCCCUGCAGAGGCACUCAGUGGGUUAAGAAGGAAGGCCUCAGAAGGUGGUGGGUCUGCAUCUGCCACCCAGCCCACAGCAAGACUUUUCUGCCCCAGCGCUCCUUCUGGAGAACAGCCAGAGGGCAAACAGCGCUUCUGAGAUGGGCCACCUUGCUUCCCCUCAGCUCCACAGCUGGAGCUCUUUCUGUCUCUUUCUGCUUGGCCCAGGGACAAAGGAGGAAUGCAGUGGUUCACAGAGCCAGCUGGAACUCUCUGAGGAGGCGGGUGCUGCUCGGAAGGGUCCGCAGCAGGCUUUUUUGGGAAGCUGCAGUGCAAGGGCUGGGCAGAGCGGCACCUUGACUGCACUGUUCCACAAACAGGUCGAGGGGCUGGGCUCAGGCCUUGUUCCUGGCCCCAUCGCCCAGAGGAGCCUGCCUCUGGCACCGAGGAGCUCCAUGCCCUGGUGAGGGCUCGCUCCAUCACGGUGACUGGCAGGUGGCACUUGGGGGGACUGUACCUGGCUGCCGUGGUUGUGCGUAGGCAAGGCUCUUCUCAGCUAACUGAGAACAUCUCUGCAUUCUUCCCCCGGCCAGCACGCUGCAAAACACAGGACCACUCUGCUGUGCUGUGGUGUUUGAAGAAACAGUUCAGGUACAGAAACACAGUUCAGCCCUGAGAAGUUUGGAGCGCACCAGCAGCUCUUCUUUUUCCACCCUGGUGGCUGAAACCGUCCAGCUCCUGAGAACAUCCCCUGGAUUCAGCCUGCAAGCUCUUUGCUACCGGCUCAGCAGCGUGGGGGAGAAGAGGCUGCACUCCCUAAGAGCUGGCUGGCUGCGCUGCUGCAGCUGUGCUCAGGGCUGACCCCAGCUGGUGCAACUUGAGGCCCUUCACAAGCCUUGCUGCCCUUCUUUGGACCUGCAAUAGGGAAGCUUUUGUAUUUACUAUAUUUACAUCUAUUUAUUGAUACAAAAUAAACAUUGUAUUAUUGA